GAACUUACAAUCAUGGCAGAAGGUGAAGGGGAAGCGAGGCACCUUCUUCACAAUGCAGCAGGAAGGAAAAUGAACUCAGAAGGAACUACCAAACACUUAAAAAACCAUCAGAUAUCCUGAGAACUCACUCAUUACCAUGACAACAGCAUGGGGGGAAACUGCCGUCAUGAUUCAGUUACUUCCACCUGGUUUCUCCCAUGCUAUGUGGGCAUUAUGGGGAUUACAACUUAAGGUUUCUGGCAUUCUUCAAAGUUGUGAAACAAGACAUAUUAUCUGUGUGGAGCUCCCACAUAGUGGAAAGUUGGACAAAAAUGUAGAGAAGUAAAUAAAUAAAUGGCUAUGAAGGUA